rnacentral:lncRNA from 1 species
UUUGCCUGGGGCAAAAUGCAUAGACAUACAUCAGAUGUGUUUUUUGUUUAAAUUGGCUUGUAUAUCAGUGUGACUGUGCAGGGAGGAAGCUUUUAAAGGUAGUACUGNAUUUGUUUCUUAAAAAGAGCCUUAAUCAAGCCUUCCAUUUAAAGUUAUACAAGAUGCCAUGGAAGGCUAAUUAAUAGUAUGACCGAAAGAACUGGAAUUAGUAAGAAUAACAAAAAUCAUACAGGAAGAUUUCACAAUGGGGGCAGGUAAGGAGAAGGCACAUCCACCUCAGCCCAUACAGUUGUUUCCAGGAGCAAAAGAGAAUGAAAUAUGUAGAAUGGGCUUCUUCACCACCACCACCAACACCACCAUCAUCAUUAUUGUUGUUGUUCUGGCAAAUAUUCUUUUUCUCUUCCAUCCAAGUGACUGUCCACACAGAAGCACAGAUCAGUUUAGGUCAGGCUACGUUGUGAGCAGCUCCCAUGAUGCAUCCCACAAUCAGCUUUCAAUGCAUUCCAAAGUGCCAUUUCAGGAGUCUCCAAACUACCUUAAAAUAGCCCGAAAAUGUCUUUUCUUACUGUGUGUCAUUCCCAAGUUUCACUGGUUUUGAUUUACUUUGGGUGUUAUGGGCAUUACUACGAACACAUCUAUAGUAGGUGUGCAUACACAUAACACGCAAAGGACAUGUAUCUCUGGACUUUGGACUAUACAGCUGUAUGGGUGUUCUAACCAUGGCUUGCUCGUGGAAGGCAACUUGAAAGCAUUAUAAAGGAAAAGCCAUCUUGGAAGAAAAGACAAACCCCAUUUUGAAAUUGAGACUUUUUUCCUUCACACCUCCAUCUUCAUUUUAAGACAGAAGAAGUUUUCUGUAGACUGGAAAACCCUAGAAGCAUGUUGCAGGAGCACCUGGACUCUGCUUUUGUUUUGUUAACAUUGUCUUCACACUUGGCACAAUGCUCUUAGCGCAGCAAUGCUCUUUAAACUUCUCUUAGCAGUACCCUUGCCAUUGUGUCACACCAUUGUAACUUUGCUUUUUAUCUUUGAACCUGCCUGAUCACUAUAUUAUUAUCAAAGCCUGUUAUCUUGUUGAUGGCUGUUGCAGCCACUCAAUAAAUUGCUUCUUAUCCUUUUUAUUGUUUGAAAU